AGAUUCCUACGGGAGGCAGCAGUGAGGAAUUUUCCGCAAUGGGCGAGAGCCUGACGGAGCAAUGCCGCGUGGAGGAUGAAGGCCCGUGGGUUGUAAACUCCUUUUCUCAGAGAAGAAGCCCUGACGGUAUCUGAGGAAUAAGCAUCGGCUAACUCCGUGCCAGCAGCCGCGGUAAUACGGAGGAUGCAAGCGUUAUCCGGAACCAUUGGGCGUAAAGGGUCCUGAGGUGGCCUGCCCAGUCCGCUGUGAAAGAUCAGGGCUCAACCCUGAAUAUGCGGUGGAAACUAGCAGGCUAGAAUACGGUAGGGGCAGGGGGAAUUCCCGGUGUAGCGGUGAAAUGCAUAGAUAUCGGGAAGAACACCAACGGCGAAGGCACCCUGCUGGGCCGAUAUUGACACUGACAGACGAGAGCUAGGGGAGCGAAUGGGAUUAGAUACCCCAGUAGUCCUAGCCGUAAACGAUGGAUACUAAGUGCUGAACGACUCAAAACGGGCAGUGCUGCAGCUAACGCGCUAAGUAUCCCGCCUGGGGAGUAUGCCCGCAAGGGUGAAACUCAAAUGAAUUGACGGGG
rnacentral:rRNA from 1 species